rnacentral:rRNA from 1 species
UACGGGGGGGGGCAAGCGUUUGUUCGGAAUUACUGGGCGUAAAGGGCUCGUAGGCGGCCAACUAAGUCGGACGUGAAAUCCCCAGGCUCAACCUGGGAACUGCGUCCAAUACUGGAUGGCUUGAAUCCGGGAGAGGGAUGCAGAAUUCCAGGUGUAGCGGUGAAAUGCGUAGAUAUCAGGAGGAACACCGGUGGCGAAGGCGGGUCUCUGGGCAACAACUGACGCUGAGGAGCGAAAGCGUGGGGAGCGAACAGG